rnacentral:rRNA from 1 species
AUUGAACGCUGGCGGCAGGCCUAACACAUGCAAGUCGAGCGGAUGAAGGGAGCUUGCUCCUGGAUUCAGCGGCGGACGGGUGAGUAAUGCCUAGGAAUCUGCCUGGUAGUGGGAGAUAACGUCCGGAAACGGGCGCUAAUACCGCAUACGUCCUGAGGGAGAAAGUGGGGGAUCUUCGGACCUCACGCUAUCAGAUGAGCCUAGGUCGGAUUAGCUAGUUGGUGGGGUAAAGGCCUACCAAGGCGACGAUCCGUAACUGGUCGGAGAGGAUGAUCAGUCACACUGGAACUGAGACACGGUCCAGACUCCUACGGGAGGCAGCAGUGGGGAAUAUUGGACAAUGGGCGAAAGCCUGAUCCAGCCAUGCCGCGUGUGUGAAGAAGGUCUUCGGAUUGGAAAGCACUUUAAGUUGGGAGGAAGGGCAGUAAGUUAAUACCUUGCUGUUGUGACGUUACCAACAGAAUAAGCACCGGCUAACUUCGUG